rnacentral:rRNA from 1 species
CGGGAAUAUUGCGCAAUGGGCGGAAGCCUGACGCAGCGACGCCGCGUAAGCGAAGAAGGCCUUCGGGUCGUAAAGCUCUGUCCUUGGGGAAGAAGGCGAAAGCUUGACGGUACCCAAGAAGAAAGCCCCGGCUAACUACGUGCCAGCAGCCGCGGUAAUACGUAGGGGGCGAGCGUUGUCCGGAAUUACUGGGCGUAAAGGGUGCGUAGGCGGCCUUUUAAGUCAGAUGUGAAAGGCUGCGGCUUAACCGCAGGACUGCAUUUGAAACUGGAAGGCUUGAGUGUCGGAGAGGGUAGUGGAACUCCCAGUGUAGCGGUGAAAUGCGUAGAUAUUGGGAGGAACACCAGUGGCGAAGGCGACUACCUGGACGAUAACUGACGCUGAGGCACGAAAGCUAGGGGAGCAAAC